ensembl:rRNA 5S_rRNA 5S ribosomal RNA
GCUUACGACCACACUGGCCUGAGUUCCUGAUCUUGUCUGAUCUCGGAAGCUAAGCAGGGUCGGGCCUGGUUAGUACUUGGAUGGGAGACCGCCUGGGAAUACCAGGUGCUGUAAGCU